GACGAACGCUGGCGGCGUGCUUAACACAUGCAAGUCGAACGGAAAGGCCCUGCUUUUGUGGGGGGCUCGAGUGGCGAAAGGGUGAGUAACACGUGAGUAACCUGCCCUUGACUUUGGGAUAACUUCAGGAAACUGGGGCUAAUACCGGAUAGGAGCUGCUGCUGCAUGGUGGGGGUUGGAAAGUUUCGGCGGUUGGGGAUGGAUUCGCGGCUUAUCAGCUUGUUGGUGGGGUAGUGGCUUACCACGGCUUUGACGGGUAGCCGGCCUGAGAGGGUGACCGGCCACAUUGGGACUGAGAUACGGCCCAGACUCCUACGGGAGGCAGCAGUGGGGAAUAUUGCACAAUGGGCGGAAGCCUGAUGCAGCAACGCCGCGUGCGGGAUGACGGCCUUCGGGUUGUAAACCGCUUUCGCCUGUUACGAAGCGUGAGUGACGGUAAUGGGUAAAGAAGCACCGGCUAACUACGUG
rnacentral:rRNA from 1 species